GCCUUAGUAGCGGCGAGUGAAGCGGCAAAAGCUCAAAUUUGAAAUCUGGCACUUUCAGUGUCCGAGUUGUAAUUUGAAGAAGGUAUCUUUGGGUCUGGCUCUUGUCUAUGUUUCUUGGAACAGAACGUCACAGAGGGUGAGAAUCCCGUGCGAUGAGAUGUCCCAGACCUAUGUAAAGUUCCUUCGAAGAGUCGAGUUGUUUGGGAAUGCAGCUCUAAGUGGGUGGUAAAUUCCAUCUAAAGCUAAAUAUUGGCGAGAGACCGAUAGCGAACAAGUACAGUGAUGGAAAGAUGAAAAGAACUUUGAAAAGAGAGUGAAAAAGUACGUGAAAUUGUUGAAAGGGAAGGGCUUGAGAUCAGACUUGGUAUUUUGUAUGUUACUCUCUCGGGGGUGGCCUCUACAGUUUACCGGGCCAGCAUCAGUUUGGGCGGUAGGACAAUUGCAAAGAAAUGUGGCACUGCCUCGGUAGUGUGUUAUAGUCUUUGUCGAUACUGCCAGCCUAGACUGAGGACUGCGGCUUCGGCCUAGGAUGUUGGCAUAAUGAUCUUAAGUCGCCCGUCUU
rnacentral:rRNA from 1 species